rnacentral:rRNA from 1 species
CGGAGGAAAAGAAACUAACAAGGAUUCCCCUAGUAACUGCGAGUGAAGCGGGAAAAGCUCAAAUUUAAAAUCCCUCGGGAAUUGUAAUCUAGAGAAGUGUUUUCGGUCGUUGCCUCGGACAAGUCCUUUGGAACAAGGCGUCAUAGAGGGUGAGAAUCCCGUCCUUGCCGAGCUACCAACGUCUAUGUGAUACACUCUCGAAGAGUCGAGUUGUUUGGGAAUGCAGCUCAAAACGGGUGGUAAACUCCAUCUAAAGCUAAAUAUUGGCGAGAGACCGAUAGCGAACAAGUACCGUGAGGGAAAGAUGAAAAGCACUUUGGACAGAGAGUUAAACAGUACGUGAAAUUGUUGAAAGGGAAACGCUUGAAGUCAGUCGCGUUGCAGGGACUCAGCCGCAAGGUGCAUUUCCCGGUAACGGGUCAACAUCAGUUUCGAGCGCGGGAAAAGGGCUUGGGGAAUGUGGCAGCCUCGGCUGUGUUAUAGCCCCCUGUCGUACACCGCGCCCGGGACUGAGGACCGCUAAUAGGAUGUUGACGUAAUGGCUUUAAGCGACCCGUCUUG